CAGCCGCCGCGGUAAUACGGAGGGGGCUAGCGUUGUUCGGAAUUACUGGGCGUAAAGCGCACGUAGGCGGCUUUGUAAGUUAGAGGUGAAAGCCUGGAGCUCAACUCCAGAAUUGCCUUUAAGACUGCAUCGCUUGAAUCGCGGAGAGGUGAGUGGAAUUCCGAGUGUAGAGGUGAAAUUCGUAGAUAUUCGGAAGAACACCAGUGGCGAAGGCGGCUCACUGGCUCAUACUGGACGCUGAGGUGCGAAAGCGUGGGGAGCAAACAGGAUUAGAUACCCGGGUAGUCCCUGUCUCUUAUAC
rnacentral:rRNA from 1 species